GACGAACGCUGGCGGCGUGCUUAACACAUGCAAGUCGAACGGAAAGGCCCUGCUUUUGUGGGGUGCUCGAGUGGCGAACGGGUGAGUAACACGUGAGUAACCUGCCCUUGACUUUGGGAUAACUUCAGGAAACUGGGGCUAAUACCGGAUAGGAGCUCCUGCUGCAUGGUGGGGGUUGGAAAGUUUCGGCGGUUGGGGAUGGACUCGCGGCUUAUCAGCUUGUUGGUGGGGUAGUGGCUUACCAAGGCUUUGACGGGUAGCCGGCCCGAGAGGGUGACCGGCCACACUGGGACUGAGAUACGGCCCAGACUCCUACGGGAGGGAGAAGUGGGGAAUAGUGCACAAUGGGCGGAAGCCUGAUGCAGCAACGCCGCGUGCGGGAUGACGGCCUUCGGGUUGUAAACCGCCUUCGCCUGUGACGAAGCGUGAGUGACGGUAAUGGGUAAAGAAGCACCGGCUAACUACGUG
rnacentral:rRNA from 1 species